CAGAUAUCGCUAAGGGCAAUUAAGUGGAGAAUAAAAGACUGGAGCAAGUGAGAAACAGAUCAGACCAACACUUAUGUGGGCAAAGGAAGAAACCCUAGUAGUCGAGUAAUAGCUGUAGCGUUAGAGGAGUACUUCCACCAGCUAAGACAGAACAUUGUCCAAACCCAACCACUAGACAAACAGGCACCCUUGGUUCAGUGUUUUUGAUAAUCUCAUGGAAGGAAUAAAGAAAAUUCCUGACCAAAAACAGAUAUAGGUUUACUCAGAAUCUGUCAGUGUUCCGCAGAGACAUCAAUGACUUCGUGAAGGAUCCAAAUAUAGAUAGUGCAGCAGUGGGUGAUAUGAUGAA